GACGUAGGAUGCAAGCGUUGUCCGGAUUUAUUGGGCGUAAAGAGUUCGUAGGUUGUGUUUCAAGUCUUAUGUGAAAUAAUAGAGCUUAACUCUAUCUCCGCAUAAGAUACUGAAACGCUAGAGUAAGGUAGGGGUCAGAAGAAUUCCUGGUGUAGCGGUGAAAUGCGUAGAUAUCAGGAGGAACACCGGUGGCGAAAGCGUCUGACUGGGCCUUUACUGACACUGAGGAACGAAAGCUAGGGGAGCGAAAGGG
rnacentral:rRNA from 1 species